GACGAACGCUGGCGGCGUGCUUAACACAUGCAAGUCGAACGAGAGCGUAGAGAAAGCUUGCUUUUUCUACAAUCUAGUGGCAAACGGGUGAGUAACGCGUAAACAACCUGCCCUACGGAUGGGGACAACAGCUGGAAACGGCUGCUAAUACCGAAUACGUUCCGAAAGUCGCAUGACUAUCGGAAGAAAGGAUGGCCUCUAUUUAUAAGCUAUCGCCGGAGGAGGGGUUUGCGUCUGAUUAGCUAGUUGGAGGGGUAACGGCCCACCAAGGCGACGAUCAGUAGCCGGUCUGAGAGGAUGAACGGCCAAAUUGGAACUGAGACACGGUCCAGACUCCUACGGGAGGCAGCAGUGGGGAAUCUUCCGCAAUGGGCGAAAGCCUGACGGAGCAACGCCGCGUGAGUGAAGACGGCCUUCGGGUUGUAAAGCUCUGUUAUACGGGACGAAUAAUCUUGUGGUUAAUACCCAUGAGAAGUGACGGUACCGUAAGAGAAAGCCACGGCUAACUACGUG
rnacentral:rRNA from 1 species